GACGAACGCUGGCGGCGUGCUUAACACAUGCAAGUCGAACGGAAAGGCCCUGCUUUUGUGGGGUGCUCGAGUGGCGAACGGGUGAGUAACACGUGAGUAACCUGCCCUUGACUUUGGGAUAACUUCAGGAAACUGGGGCUAAUACCGGAUAGGAGCUCCUGCUGCAUGGUGGGGGUUGGAACGUUUCGGCGGUUGGGGAUGGACUCGCGGCUUAUCAGCUUGUUGAUGGGGUAGUGGCUUACCAAGGCUUUGACGGGUAGCCGGCCUGAGAGGGUGACCGGCCACAUUGGGACUGGGGUACGGCCCAGACUCCUACGGGAGGCAGCAGUGGGGAAUAUUGCACAAUGGGCGGAAGCCUGAUGCAGCAACGCCGCGUGCGGGAGGACGGCCUUCGGGUUGUAAACCGCUUUCGCCUGUGACGAAGCGUGAGUGACGGUAAUGGGUAAAGAAGCACCGGCAAACUACGG
rnacentral:rRNA from 1 species